UAAAACUUGGUUGAAGUCAACUUUAUUGGUACAAAUUCCUAAUAAUUUUAUUUUUUCGAAAGAAAACUGUUUAUUAAAAAUAAUGCGUGGCUAUAAAAAUAGAAAGACAAAGGAAGAGCCCAAAACAAAAAUCCAUAAGGAAUUUGAAUAGUUAAAAAAAAUUCCUAAUAAUUUUAUUUAAAAUUGAAGAUUUAGUUACGAUUAGAAAUCUACUUUUCUAUCUUCAUCCAUGGACCCUUUACCAUACUUAUUCAAUUGGAAGUAUUAAUCCCAAUUCCAAAAUUUUGUUUCGCAAUUUCAUAAUCCAAUUUUUCAAUUUCUAAUUGACUUUUGGAUACAAAUCAG
rnacentral:lncRNA from 1 species